AUUGAACGCUGGCGGCAGGCCUAACACAUGCAAGUCGAACGAGUGGCGGACGGGUGAGUAAUGUCUGGGAAAAUGCCUGAUGGAGGGGGAUAACUACUGGAAACGGUAGCUAAUACCGCAUACCAUCAGAUGUGCCCAGAUGGGAUUAGAUAGUUGGUGGGGUAAAGGCUCACCAAGGAGACGAUCCCUAGCUGGUCUGAGAGGAUUACCAGCCACACUGGAACUUAUACACUGUCCCUACUCCCACGGGAGGCAGCAGUGGGGAAUAUUGCACAAUGGGCGCAAGCCUGAUGCAGCCAUGCCGCGUGUAUGAAGACGGCCUUCGGGUUGUAAAGUCCUUUCAGCGGGUAGGCGUUACCCGCAGAAGAAGCACCGGCUAACUCCGUGCCAGCAGCCGCGGUAAUUC
rnacentral:rRNA from 1 species